AAAUCAACAAACAACAAAAGAGGUUUGUUAUGAGUAAAUUAAGAAGCAAAUUUAACAAAUGGGUGAGUACUCAUCCAUGGCUAGGAGCAUUCAUUUUUGUUCCAGGUAUACCAAUGUUAUUUUUCCUGAUUCUUUUCAGUCUUCCUAAAGUAUAGGAAUUUCCUGAGGAUUCGUCCUCGGGUCCUCAAUGAAGUGUGCGAGUGGUAGGAGAGCGUUCGUAUUGCGAUGAAUCCAAGGCGGGAGCCGCGGUGGAGCGAUGCGAAGUGAGAAUGCCGGCACAAGUAACCGCAAGGCAGGUGAGAACCCUGCCCGCCGAAAUACCAAGGUUUCCUUCGCGAUGGUGAUCAGCGAAGGGUUAGUCGGUCCUAAGGGAAUCCCGAAUGGGGGACUCGAUGGAUAGCAGGUUAAUAUUCCUGCACACUGCUACGUUCCUAUGGAGGGACGGAGUGUUGUACCCAAAGCUUCUUAUUGGAUUGGAGCUGGAACUAUGAGGACGUGUCUUAGGCAAAUCCGGGACAUAUAAUCCGAGUAGGGUCUGAACUUACGGCUACGGCCGUGGGAAUGAGGGGAGCACGCUUCCGAGAAAAACUUCGUUUGGGUUAAGCGUAGUGGUUCCGUACCGCAAACCGACACAGGUGGUAGAGUCGAGAAGACUAAGGCGAACAAGUGAGAGGUCCUCAAGGAACUCGGCAAAAAAGCGACCGUAACUUAGGGAUAAGGUCUGCCCAAUCUCUUCGGAGGGAGGGCCGCAGCGAAAGAUUUCCUGCCGACUGUUUAACAAAAACACAGCUCUCUGCAAACACGAAAGUGGAAGUAUAGAGGGUGACGCCUGACCUAUGCCGGAAGGUUAAAUACGGGGGGUGAUAUGAGAUUCGUCUUGUAUUGCUGGACUGUAUAAGCCCCGGUAAAUGUCAGCGAUAACUAUAAUCGUUCUAAGGUCGAGCGCAUGAUCCAAUAAAUCAUACGCUCGACGGAUUGGAACGAUUGUAGGGUUAAGCAGCCUAGCCACAGUUACCUUAUGGGUCAGAAAUGAUUCAUAUAAUCCAAACCAAACCUACAAGAGACCAAAUGUUUGGCACCGCAGCAUUCACGAAAGUGAGAUGGUGGUGAAGAUAGAGUCCUAUUGUGUACGUGUGAUUUAAGGGUCACACACAAAAGAAGGGAAAAUAGAGCGUAUUUCCUUGUCGGGUAAGUUCCGACGUGCACGAAUGGCGUAACGAGUGGGAAACUGUCUCGAGGACUUGCUUGGUGAAAAUACAAUCGCGGUAAAGAUGCCGCGUACCUGCAGUUAGACGAAAAGACCCCAGGAGCUUUACUGUAGCUUCGUAUUGGGGCUAUUGAAUUAAUGCGUAGUAUAGGUGUGAGACUUUGAAGCGGGCUUUCGGGUACCGUGGAGUCGCCAGUGAAAUAGCACCCUUUAUUUUGGUAGUCUCUAACCGGUGAGGAAAAACCUCAUCGAGACAGUGCGUGGCAGGCAGUUUUAGUGGGGCGCUACCCUCCCAAAAUGUAACGGAGGGGUCUCAAGGUUGGUUAGUCGCGAAUGGAAACCGUGACGAUAGUGUAAUGGCAUAAACCAGCUUGACUGUGAGGAGUAGAUUCCGAACAGACACGAAAGUGGAGCAUAGUGAACCGAUGGUUGGCUUUAGAUGCCGCCGGAGAUUACCCGAUAAAAGUUACCCUGGGGAUAACAGGCUAGUCGUGCCCAAGCGUCCAUAGCGACGGCACGGUUCGGCACCUCGAUGUCGGCUCGACUUAUCCUGGGGCUGGAGCAGGUCCCAAGGGUUUGGCUGUUCGCCAAUUAAAAAGUCACGUGAGCUGGGUUUAGACCGUCGUGAGACAGGUUGGUCUCCUAUCUACUGCAGGCGUCGAUUCUUGAGGAGAGUUGUUCCUAGUAAAUUUUUGCUACUUUAGGGAGAGAUCCCUAAUGACAACAUGGCUUAUAACGGUGAAGUCUACGUCACUUCCGGUUUUAGAGGUCAAUACACCAUGGUCCAGUGUGUAUUGAAUUCGCUUGAGGACCGGAAAAUUGAUAUGAUAAUACCGUGGGAAGUCGAUCCAAAACAGAUUUAGCAUACAUUGCAGGUUUCCUUGAUGGAGAUGGAAGCAUAAUGUUGCAAGUAAAACUUCGCAGUGACACCAGUCGCGGCGUGAGAUUUAUGACUACAUUAUGUCUCUAUCAAGAUACUCGCCACGCGAAGCCACUUAGCUGGAUGCGUGAAGUACUUGGUAUCGGGUAUUUAUCCAAUCGUAAUGAUGGGAUGACCGAACUAAGGAUUAAUGGUUUUGCUUCAGUACACAAAGUGCUUACACAACUACGACCUUUUAUAAGAUUCAAGACAGUUCAAGCGGAUGCUUUAAUGCAGGCUUGUACAAUCUUGAAUUCAAAAAAGAUCAGUAAAUUGUCUGAGCAAGAAUUGCGGAGUUUAGUAGAAUUUGUCUUUUUAAUUAAAGACCACAACUACAAAAGCAAAGCAACUUUGAGUAAAGAAACAUUGCUACUUCGAUUGGGUUUGACCCCGUAACGACUUGCGCUGAAAGACGCGCGGACUCAUAGUAUGAGGAAUCAUUUCUUUGAAAAUGACAGCUGCUAUGGGUAACAUGCCAUCGCCCUCGCUAGUAUUCCACUAGACGGGUGAAGAUAUAGUCUGUGCUCCUAGAAAUAGGGGAAAGAUGCUAAAUAUUGCAUUUAGUAUUCACGACGAGAGGACCGGAAUGAACGAACCUCUGGUCUAUCAGCUGUCACGCCAGUGGCACUGCUGAGUAGCUAUGUUCGGAAUGGAUAACCGCUGAAAGCAUCUAAGCGGGAAGCCAACUCCAAGAUUAGGAAUCCCUGGACAUUAGUCCCUAAAGACCCCUUGUAGACGACGAGGUUGAUAGGCGGGAGGUAUACGCACAGCGAUGUGUUUAGCUUAC
rnacentral:rRNA from 1 species